rnacentral:lncRNA from 1 species
GCUCACUCAUUUGCCAGCUCUACUGCUAUCCGUACACUCUAAUUUGGGAAAGAAAUUUAAAAUACAUCAGUUAUAUUGCCAAUGUGGCAUCACCAACCAAUCAGAUUGUUAUCCUUAGGUUUAUUCGUUCUAUCGUGGUUGAUAGAAAAAUAUUUUUGUUAUACUUUUUACUUAGAAGAAGAAAUAUGAUUAGCUGUUAAUAAAUGAUGUGAUGUGACUGAUAUAUAAUAGAAUCUCUUCUAAUUUGGACGGUACAUCUUACACUUUUAAAAUCAAACGGCUAGUAUUCAAAAUCAAAGGGUUUGGUGCUAUCGAGUUUUUCAUCGUUAGAUUUAGCCCUUUGAUUAUUUUUAUCCGUUAGAUUAUACUACUCAACCCUGAGGGGCCCACAUCAUCCUAACCGCACAUUUAUGAAUCUAAAGGCCAAAAAACUAAUUACACCAAUAGCUUAGUGCUAUUGAUAGUAUUCUAGCCUAUUUCUUAGCUGGAAUGCUAUCGGUAGCAAAUGGACUCCAUUGCCACCUAUUUAUUUUCAAUGAUGGAGCCUUCAAAUUGACGAUCGGCAUCGUUGAACAUGAUCUAUACCACUUGAAGUAUCUAGAAACCAAAAUUCAAAUCUUUUCGACAUCAUUAACCUAAUAAUCAAAAGAUUUCAAAAUUUAUAAUUUUAACGGUAGAUAUGAAACGUUUUCUUAUUUAACAGUGUAAAGCCAUCCAAAUCAAUUGAAUUUUGGUCAGAAAAUUCUUUAAACUAUUUAGAACAAUAUCUAUACUCUCGAUCUUGAUUACAAAAUUCAUAUCAUCACUUUUUAGAGAAUAUUCAUUUUCAGCCGUUCAUUUUUACGUCACUUGAUAGACAAGAGAAUAAUAUCAAAAAAGCAUGAAAUUUAAUUUUUAGAUACUUCAAGUGGUAUACAUCAUGUUCAACGUGUUCGCUCAUUUGG